AUACGUAGGGGGCGAGCGUUGUCCGGAAUGAUUGGGCGUAAAGGGCGCGUAGGCGGCGCGGUAAGUCUGGAGUGAAAGUCCUGCUUUCAAGGUGGGAAUUGCUUUGGAUACUGCCGCGCUUGAGUGCAGGAGAGGUUAUCGGAAUUCCCGGUGUAGCGGUGAAAUGCGUAGAGAUCGGGAGGAACACCAGUGGCGAAGGCGGGUAACUGGACUGCAACUGACGCUGAGGCGCGAAAGUGUGGGGAGCAAACAGGAUUAGAUACCCUGGUAGUCCACACUGUAAACGAUGAAUGCUAGGUGUAAGAGGUAUCGACCCCUUUUGUGCCGGAGUCAACACAAUAAGCAUUCCGCCUGGGGAGUGCGGCCGCAAGGUUGAAACUCAAAGGAAUUGACGGGG
rnacentral:rRNA from 1 species